GACGAACGCUGGCGGCGUGCUUAACACAUGCAAGUCGAACGGAAAGGCCCUGCUUUUGUGGGGUGCUCGAUUGGCGAACGGGUGAGUAACACGUGAGUAACCUGCCCUUGACUUUGGGAUAACUUCAGGAAACUGGGGCUAAUACCGGAUAGGAGCUCCUGCUGCAUGGUGGGGGUUGGAAAGUUUCGGCGGUUGGGGAUGGACUCGCGGCUUAUCAGCUUGUUGGUGGGGUAGUGGCUUACCAAGGCUUUGACGGGUAGCCGGCCUGAGAGGGUGACCGGCCACAUUGGGACUGAGAUACGGCCCAGACUCCUACGGGAGGCAGCAGUGGGGAAUAUUGCACAAUGGGCGGAAGCCUGAUGCAGCAACGCCGCGUGCGGGAUGACGGCCUUCGGGUUGUAAACCGCUUUCGCAUGUGACGAAGCGUGAGUGACGGUAAUGGGUAAAGAAGCACCGGCUAACUACGUG
rnacentral:rRNA from 1 species